AACGUUUGAAAAAACUCCAACAUUAAUUUAAUAUCCCAAUUCCCAAAAAGAAUGUCUAUUUUUUUAAUUUAUUUUGUGAAGUUCAAUAUCAUUAUAAGAUCCCAAGCCGACCCUGUAUACAGCCAUGAAGUAUUGCAGCAACAUUUCAAUGUGUUACAAGAUUCCUGUUUAUUUGAGACGCAAAAACAGAAUUUGUAAGAAGUGUUGACAAAAGUACAGUUCUAAUGCGUAGAUGAACUUUCUAGAACAAAUCUUGAACUGAAAGUUGAGUUCUUGUCAACUAAGCAUCCCUAAGGAUCAAAAUCGCUCGGUACUUCCGUCGUAUUUUUCCCAGGUAGUAGCUUCAGAGCGAAGCGCAAAUUAGUCCAGCUUUACGUCCGAAGGUGAUAGCAUCUCCUCGGCUGGUACUCGCUCGAAGUAGGGCGUAGUCCCUUUGUUCCCCGCCGGUAAAAUGUAGAAUGGUCGCUGUGAAGAUCUGAAUGUGUGGUGAGUGCUCUGAGAGGAUUUUUUCCACAUAGUGUUGGAUUUGUUAUGGAAAAUCGAAGCCUCUUGAAGAGUCAAACACGCAGUUCUACAACCCGGCAUUGUUGCCCAUUGUGUAGAAGUCUUUGUUUGUUCCUGUCCCUAUGCAUUGUGUAGAAGUCUUUGUUUGUUCCUGUCCCUAUGCAAGUUCCAGUUGAUUGCCCUGAAAAGUUCCAAUUUCCCAGAAGAGCCCCCUUUGUGAUUUGUGUAUGGAAUGUCUACCCCACACCCCACCCUCCAAUGAUUGCCCUGAAAUUGAAGAAAGAAGCCAUGUCUUCCCCCUGCCCCCUGUUUGUUGAUGAACUCCCACCCUGUAGUUUUGUGACUGUGACGAAGAUUUUUUUUGUUUUUAAGGUAUGAUACGUUUUUUAAUUUUACUAAAUUUCAAGUGGAUAAAUUUCUGGUAAAUAAUUGUAUAAAGAAAUUUGCUUUCAUAAUGGUAAAAAAAGGCAGUGACUUAUGACAUUUGACAGCUACGUCAAAUCUUGUGUUGAAAUAAAUAGGUCAAAUUUUAUUUGACAUAUACUGCCCAACAAAUUUAAUUUUAAUUGUUUUGUUUGUAAUCAUUGUUUUUGUAGUAAAAUUUUGAAUAAACCUGGUAAGAGUUUAAAGUUUUGAAUAAACGUUUUGUAAGUGUA